AACGAACGCUGGCGGCAUGCCUAACACAUGCAAGUCGAACGAUGGCUUCGGCCAUAGUGGCGCACGGGUGCGUAACGCGUGGGAAUCUACCCUUUGCUACGGAAUAACUCGGGGAAACCCGUGCUAAUACCGUAUGAUGUCGCAAGACCAAAGAUUUAUCGGCAAGGGAUGAGCCCGCGUAGGAUUAGCUAGUUGGUGGGGUAAAGGCCUACCAAGGCGACGAUCCUUAGCNGGUCUGAGAGGAUGAUCAGCCACACUGGGACUGAGACACGGCCCAGACUCCUACGGGAGGCAGCAGUGGGGAAUAUUGGACAAUGGGCGAAAGCCUGAUCCAGCAAUGCCGCGUGAGUGAUGAAGGCCUUAGGGUUGUAAAGCUCUUUUACCCGGGAUGAUAAUGACAGUACCGGGAGAAUAAGCCCCGGCUAACUCCGUGCCAGCAGCCGCAGU
rnacentral:rRNA from 1 species